rnacentral:tRNA from 1 species
GGAGUUGUAGCUCAGCAGUACAGCGCUCACCUAGCACGAGCGAGGCCCUGGGUUCGAUCCUCAGCACCA